rfam:Triticum aestivum genome assembly, contig: Triticum_aestivum_CS42_TGACv1_scaffold_499389_6BL
GAAAUACUCCCUCCGUCCCAAAAUUCUUGUCUUAGAUUUGUCUAAAUACGGAUGUAUCAAGUCACGUUUUGCUAUUGGAUACAUCCAUACCUAGACUAAUCUAAGACAAGAAUUUUGGGACGGAGGGAGUAUAAA